UGGCUACAGAACGAACGCUGGCGGCAGGCUUAACACAUGCAAGUCGAACGGGUGUAGCAAUACAUCAGUGGCAGACGGGUGAGUAACACGUGGGAACCUUCCUAGGGGUACGGAACAACUCAGGGAAACUUGAGCUAAUACCGUAUACGUCCGUGAGGAGAAAGAUUUAUCGCCCUUAGACGGGCCCGCGUCGGAUUAGCUAGUUGGUGGGGUAACGGCCUACCAAGGCGACGAUCCGUAGCUGAUCUCAGAGGAUGAUCAGCCACACUGGGACUGAGACACGGCCCAGACUCCUACGGGAGGCAGCAGUGGGGAAUCUUGGACAAUGGGCGCAAGCCUGAUCCAGCCAUGCCGCGUGAGUGAAGAAGGUCUUCGGAUUGUAAGGCUCUUUUGCCAGGGACGAUAAUGACGGUACCUGGAGAAUAAGCCCCGGCAAACUUCGUG
rnacentral:rRNA from 1 species